GUACAGAUGUGGGCACAUGUGCACAUGUUCAAAAUGUGCGAAUGAGUUGGUCCACAAAGGAGAAAAGUGUCCAAUGUGCAGGGCACCUGUAAUUGAGGUCAUCCGUGCUUACUCCAUCUUAUAAUUUGAUGAUUGAAAAGAAGAAUGGAGGAUUUAAAAGAAAAGAAAUUUGGUUCACAAAAUAGAGCCAUUUCAGAUCAUGCUCUAGGUUCUGGCCAGGUAUUUAUUAUUUCCUGGAUUCUUCAUAUGUAUUGAUUGUAUGAUUGACUAUACAAUGGGAUUUUUCGAUUUGUCGUUUUAAUGUGAAUAAAGAUUUUGAGUGGAAGAAUCAUAUUGGUGUUAGCGACAAGAAAGUUUUUGAAGGCAACUUUUUCCUGAGAUGAUGUACGAAGGUUAUAUAUGACUUGUGACCAUUUUCUGAUCCCGGACAGCUGCCACUUCAAGUGGGGUAAAUAGCAAUAAGCUUUUUGCACAGCCAUGUAAAGUUUAUUUUAUCAAUUUAUGGCAACUUGCUUAACUUGUUGAUUGUUUUAAUUAACAUCUUGUAACGUCUGAAAUUGCACUUAUCUCACUCUAUUGCUUCAAUGAUUGGGAGACAUGAAACAGAUGGAAAAGGCUACACUUUAGAUUCCACAUCAUAGGACUUACAAUAUUGACACGUUAUGGUAAAAUUCAA
rnacentral:misc_RNA from 1 species